UGAGANUGGGNGAAGCCAGACUCAGCAACGCCGCGUGGACGAUGAAGGCCUUCGGGUCGUAAAGUCCUUUUCAGAGGGACGAGUGAGGACGGUACCUCUGGAAUAAGUCACGGCUAACUACGUGCCAGCAGCCGCGGUAAAACGUAGGUGGCAAGCGUUAUCCGGAUUCAUUGGGCGUAAAGCGCCUGCAGGCGGUCCCGUAAGUGGGAUGUGAAAUCUCCUAGCUUAACUGGGAGGGGUCAUUCCAUACUGCGGGGCUUGAGGGCAGAAGAGGGAAGCGGAAUUCCCGGUGUAGUGGUGAAAUGCGUAGAUAUCGGGAGGAACACCAGUGGCGAAGGCGGCUUCCUGGCCUGCUCCUGACGCUAAGAGGCGAAAGCUAGGGGAGCGAACGGGAUUAGAAACCCCGGUAGUCCUAGCCGUAAACGAUGGAUACUGGGUGUCGGUGGUCCUAACCCCAUCGGUGCCGAAGCCAACGCGUUAAGUAUCCCGCCUGGGGACUACGGCCGCAAGGUUAAAACUCAAAAAAAUUGACGGA
rnacentral:rRNA from 1 species